rnacentral:rRNA from 1 species
AGUGAACGCUGGCGGUAGGCCUAACACAUGCAAGUCGAACGGCAGCACAGUAAGAGCUUGCUCUUACGGGUGGCGAGUGGCGGACGGGUGAGGAAUACAUCGGAAUCUACUUUUUCGUGGGGGAUAACGUAGGGAAACUUACGCUAAUACCGCAUACGACCUACGGGUGAAAGCAGGGGAUCUUCGGACCUUGCGCGAUUGAAUGAGCCGAUGUCGGAGUAGCUAGUUGGCGGGGUAAAGGCCGACCAAGGCGACGAUCCGUAGAUGGUCUGAGAGGAUGAUCAGACACACUGGAUCUGAGACACGGUCAAGACUCCUACGGGAGGCAGCAGUGGGGAAUAUUGGACAAUGCGCGAAAGCCUGAUCCAGCCAUACCGCGUGAGUGAAGAAGGACUUCGGGUUGAAAAGCACUUUUGUUGGGAAAGAAAAGCAGCAGGUUAAUACCGCGCUGUUCUGACGGUACCCAAAGAAUAAGCACCGGCUAACUUCGUG